GAUGAACGCUGGCGGCGUGCCUAAUACAUGCAAGUCGAGCGAACAGACGAGGAGCUUGCUCCUCUGACGUUAGCGGCGGACGGGUGAGUAACACGUGGAUAACCUACCUAUAAGACUGGGAUAACUUCGGGAAACCGGAGCUAAUACCGGAUAAUAUAUUGAGCCGCAUGGUUCAAUAGUGAAAGACGGUUUUGCUGUCACUUAUAGAUGGAUCCGCGCCGCAUUAGCUAGUUGGUAAGGUAACGGCUUACCAAGGCGACGAUGCGUAGCCGACCUGCGAGGGUGAUCGGCCACACUGGAACUGAGACACGGUCCAGACUCCUACGGGAGGCAGCAGUAGGGAAUCUUCCGCAAUGGGCGAAAGCCUGACGGAGCAACGCCGCGUGAGUGAUGAAGGUCUUCGGAUCGUAAAACUCUGUUAUUAGGGAAGAACAAAUGUGUAAGUAACUAUGCACGUCUUGACGGUACCUAAUCAGAAAGCCACGGCUAACUACGUG
rnacentral:rRNA from 1 species